CAAGAAAAUGCCUUUAAGAAUCGGUUGAUAUCGACAAAAAAUGAAAUUAUAUGACUCGAGGAGUGAGAAGUGCCAUGGCCCAUGACGUCCAUGCUUCAAAUGUGAAUACGAAAAACAAAGACAAAGUUUCAGAAACUAUAAAGCAUGUACACUUAAAAGUACUACAUUCUGGGAAUAACGGUGUAUGUUUGAAAAUAUUGUUUGGUUUUUGGUCAACGCUGAGCCUGAAGCCUCGAUGAUGAAGUUUUUCGAUUGUUCGAACGUCAAGAACCCUUGCCAGUUUCGGGUGAGUUUCUUUACUGUUCGUGUUGUUUUGGCAUGGAAGUUGCAGAAUAGUUUGGACUUAGGUUAGGG